AUUUUUUAAAUUUUUUUUUGCAAAUAACAGUCAUGAUAAAUUUAUGAGAUAAACAAUACCCAAUUUAGGCUCCUUUACAACUACUAGACGGGCCUGAUGAAAAAAAAGAAAACUGUACAGCAGUACAAAAUGACAACUUUGAAAACCAAUUUUUAGGGAACAUUGAAACGAGAGGCAAUUUAAUCAGAGAACUUUGAAGACCAUAUUCCACAUGAAAUUCGGCCAUUAAGAAUCUCAUCAUUUUUCUUUGCCUCUCACAUAAGCCUAACCAUGUUGAUAGUCAUAGUGCCAUUAAGAAUCUCAAUUUAAUCAUUUUUCCUUGCCUCUCACAUAAGCCUAACCACAUAAUACCAUAUUGAUAGUGCCUCUCACAUAAG
rnacentral:misc_RNA from 1 species